ACAGAAAACGCAAAACCAGAAAACACGGCCCAAACCAGAAACCAACCGAAUACAUGAAUAAAAGGAAAAUCUAGAAAAUAAAAGUCACUACCAUAAUACCCAAUCAAAUCCAUUCCUUUCACCCGUCCCAACAAAAAAUCAUUUCCCUUUCCCCGUCGAUUCCAGAGCUCGGAUAGGAAACCAAUCUGAAACCCUAUUUUCACCAAAGUUCAUCCGUCUCCCCUUGUCUCAUGCACUUUACCUCUUGCCUCAGUCUGGGUCCCUUUCCCAUUUCACUUCCAACGCUCGCUCUGCAUAUGCAGGAACUCUGCCCACUAGAUAAAUCGAUUCACUUCUCUUUAACGUUGCUGUUGCAAUGGUAUGUGAUAAUCCAUUCGCCGCUCAUAUGGUAUAUUUGAAACUGAUACACCGAAAACUGCCUUCUAACUGUUUUAUAUUGUGAAUGUAUGCCCCUAUAACCAAUUUGUCUCGAUAUUUUGACUUACAUUUCUUAAUUGUGGUUAAUGAAUCCCCCUCCAAUAUAACCUCUUCCCAACCUAUUUCUACGCCCAUUUCCAACGCCUGAUGGCAUGCAAUGGCUUGAGCGGCGAAAGCGGACAAUACUCCACUAUGGGUCUCCGAACGAGAUAACAGAACCCGCCCCUUAGCAUUCCUUGCGACAGCUCCUGAGGCCGACCGAAAGUUUCGACCGUCUUAAGCUCCAUCAAAGUUAAUCUUCACGGUAGAUCCAGAAGAUAGCCCAAAGCGCAUAACAGAAAAUACGCUUCUGAGUGGCCGAGCAUCCCCCAAAAACCCAGUGCACGCACGAAACACAUGGUCUACUGUUUCGGCCUCUCCCCCACACCGGGACAGCAUACUUAUUAAUGAGCUUCUUAUGUUUCAUGCUAACAAAAGUAGGUAGAUAGUUCCAAGAGAUCCUCCAUAUUGUAAUCUUAAUUUUCCCAGGGAGGUUUAGGCCCCAUAGCUGUUUAUAAAAUUCCUUAGUACUGGUCUGUAAAGCAUAAGCAGUAGGAACCAUAGGAAAGUUCUAUAAUAGUUUAUAAGCUACGUACCAAAAACUCCCCGGAUGGCUCACCACUCCACACCAUCAGAUCUUCAUGUGCCUCAUGUGCCAGCAGAAUUCGAAGGAUUCUAGAAGUGUCCACCGUCGCAAAGGUAUUAACGAUUAAUUCUUCUUUCUAUAUUCUUUGAUUAGCAUCAAUCAGAUCAACAAUCAUAGAA